GUUUUUAUUUAUCAGCUCUGGCCUUCAUCUUACUGUCCUCAGAUCAACACCUGGACGUGUUUGACCUGAAAAAAUAUGAACCUUCACAUGAGGCUCUUCUGUUGCUGCUGCCAGUGAUCAAAGAAUCUAAAAAAGUUUUGUUAUCUGGCUGUAAUCUGUCAGAGAAGCUGUGAAGUUCUGUCUUCAGUUCUCUGCUCUGUCCUCCAGUCUGACAGAACUGGACCUGACUAAGAACCGGCUGCAGGAUUCAGGAGUGACGCUGCUGUCUGCUGGACUGGAGAGUCCACACUGUCACCUGGAGACUCUCAGGCUGUCUGAUCACACAUGAAGGCUGUGCUUUUCUGGCCUCAGCUCUGACCUCCAACCCCUCCCAUCUCAGAGAGCUGGACCUGAGCUACAACCAUCCAGGAGACUCAGUCAAGCUGCUGGAUCCACUCCGGACUCUGGACUCUCUCAGAUUUUCACCAGAAUCUUCAAACCUGAAAAAGCCAAAAGUUGUUGUUUGCUGCUGAUCAGCACA